UGUGGGAGCGAGCCUGCUCGCGAUAGCGCUGGCUCAGCAGCAUUGAUGUCAACUGACACUCCGCUAUCGCGAGCAGGCUCGCUCCCACA
rnacentral:misc_RNA from 1 species